AGGAGCAACAGCCCUAGUGGCGGGGCCAGCUCUGCAGCCCUGGAGUCAGCCCCCGCAGUAGCUCCGGAGCUCUCCGUCUGCAGGGCCUGGAGGCUCCGGGGCGGG
rnacentral:pre_miRNA from 1 species